CAAUUCAAAGUCUUUUUCUUGUUACUACCAAUGAAUUUUAAUGCAGACUCUCCCUAAAUCUAAGACUCAUUCACUUCCACUCUAACACUUAUCCUAAUAUUUGCAAGUCUCGAUAAUAAGAACGUGAUGACCUUCACGAAUACAAACUAAAACUCUAUCGCCCAAUGAAUCAUGGAAAAUAACAUAAGACAAGGUUUAAACACAAAC
rnacentral:lncRNA from 1 species